UACGUAGGGGGGCAAGCGUUGUCCGGAAUCAUUGGGCGUAAAGCGCGUGUAGGCGGCUUGGUAAGUCCGCUCUGAAAGCCCGGGGCUCAACCUCGGGAGGCGGGUGGAUACUGUCAAGCUCGAGUCCGGAAGAGGCGAGUGGAAUUCCUGGUGUAGCGGUGAAAUGCGCAGAUAUCAGGAAGAACACCCGUGGCUAAGGCGGCUCUCUAGUACGGUACUGACGCUGAGACGCGAAAGCGUGGGGAGCGAACAGG
rnacentral:rRNA from 1 species